AUACUUACCUAAACGGGAUCAAUGGGUGAUCAAGAAGGCCCAUUGUUUAGGUUAGUGACAUUCAUUGCACUUGGGAAGUGUGCUACUCUAAGGUCUGCCCAAGUGGUGGAGCCUACAUCAUAAUUUGUGGCAAAUGAGGCCUACGUUCGCAUGGCCCUAAC